CCCAUAAUUAUUUUCUCAAAUUUUAAAUGUUUAAUAUGUAUUUGGAUUGUCAAAGUAUGGAUAAUGAUGUAGAUAUGAGUUGGGUCAAUGUGAGAUGACUUGUAAGUUGUGGGAGUUGACGUAAAACAAUAGGAGUGGAAGGGUGUAAGUGUUAUAUGUGCUAUAUAAGUCAAAAAAUUGGGCUGGGAAAUCACUUUCCCUUUUAUUUUUUUUCUUCCACGCUGUCUUCUUCUCUCUCUCUCUUGGCUCUCACCUCUCUCACCUUCUUUCUUUCAUUUCGUCUACUCCGAAUGAGAUUUUGAAAAAAUCCCAAGUACUAAAGUUGUUCUGCGCGACGAGAGCUUCCUAUCCAUCCAAGAAAAUUCAUGAUCGGAACACUUCGAAGUUUCCUUCAUGUUUGAGCAUGCUUCUAACCUUCGAGGUACUCGCCAUGGUACUUAGCUUGGAUUGCAUGGAGUUCACAUUGAGACGUCUCUUGAGAGCUUCAUUGGAAUCAUUAAGGAGUUGUUUAUCAUAUAGUCUAAUUCACGUUGUGUACUUUACCCGCAAUUGAAGGUUGUACCUUUUGGUUUGAAUAUAUGUAAAGCUAUGUAUAAACUCCUUUCCUUAAUUAUUGUGAAGCCCUUUUAAUGGAAGAUGUUUGGGAGA